UUCAGUAUUGAAGCGAUUCAGUGUGUACUUUGCUUUUAGUAAGACGUUGUGAUCCAUUAAGAAUAGAUGUGUGUAAUAGCACAUAAACGAACUACCAAUAGGGCUGCAUGAAGUUUAUUGUGGCAAACAACUGGGUCGUUGCGAUUUAGUAUAUUGCCUUGUGAGCAUGUGGCAUCUGGUGUAGCUGCCUGAUGGAUUUUAAAGAUGAUACCGUAAUGUGUUUGACAUUACCCACUUGUGUUGGGUUUUAGAUAUCUAUCCGAUCAACAACGGUAAAAUUUGAGAUACCUUUGGGACCCGUCUUGAAACACGGACCAAGGAGUCUAUCUAGUAUGCGAGUAAAUGGGCAUAAGAAAACCUAUUUGCAUAAAAAACUUGACUGUUAUGGGAUUACGAGCUGCAUCCUGCCAUAUAUAGUGUGAUGCGUUCCUCCAUCCCGGGGUAUUUUUAUAUAAUGUCUUGUUAGCUCUUUGUGGCUGAUGAGUGCAUAGAAAAUAUACCAUGAGCACACUGGAUACGACCCGAAAGAUGGUGAACUAUGCCUGAUCAGGUUGAAGUCAGGGGAAACCCUGAUGGAGGACCGAAGCAAUUCUGACGUGCAAAUCG
rnacentral:rRNA from 1 species